UGGGAGCUUGCUCCCUGAUGUUAGCGGCGGACGGGUGAGUAACACGUGGGUAACCUGCCUGUAAGACUGGGAUAACUCCGGGAAACCGGGGCUAAUACCGGAUGGUUGUUUGAACCGCAUGGUUCAAACAUAAAAGGUGGCUUCGGCUACCACUUACAGAUGGACCCGCGGCGCAUUAGCUAGUUGGUGAGGUAAUGGCUCACCAAGGCRACGAUGCGUAGCCGACCUGAGAGGGUGAUCGGCCACACUGGGACUGAGACACGGCCCAGACUCCUACGGGAGGCAGCAGUAGGGAAUCUUCCGCAAUGGACGAAAGUCUGACGGAGCAACGCCGCGUGAGUGAUGAAGGUUUUCGGAUCGUAAAGCUCUGUUGUUAGGGAAGAACAAGUACCGUUCGAAUAGGGCGGUACCUUGACGGUACCUAACCAGAAAGCCACGGCUAACUACGUGCCAGCAGCCGCGGUAAUACGUAGGUGGCAAGCGUUGUCCGGAAUUAUUGGGCGUAAAGGGCUCGCAGGCGGUUUCUUAAGUCUGAUGUGAAAGCCCCCGGCUCAACCGGGGAGGGUCAUUGGAAACUGGGGAACUUGAGUGCAGAAGAGGAGAGUGGAAUUCCACGUGUAGCGGUGAAAUGCGUAGAGAUGUGGAGGAACACCAGUGGCGAAGGCGACUCUCUGGUCUGUAACUGACGCUGAGGAGCGAAAGCGUGGGGAGCGAACAGGAUUAGAUACCCUGGUAGUCCACGCCGUAAACGAUGAGUGCUAAGUGUUAGGGGGUUUCCGCCCCUUAGUGCUGC
rnacentral:rRNA from 1 species